rnacentral:lncRNA from 1 species
CAGAAGUGGUUCCCGGGUUUGGUGGUGGGGUGAGGAGGAGAAAUGGAAGUUUACCCAGAGAGUUUCCACUGUUUGAUUGUUUUGUUUCUUUAAAAAGCUUAAAUGAAUAGGACUUAAUGUUCAUACGCUGGAAAGUUCCAUAUUUAAUUUUCUAUUCUUACCUGUUUCAUUUAUUUAUUUAUUUAUUUGAGGAAGAUUAGCCCUGAGCUAACAUCUGCUGCCAGUCCUCCUCUUUUUGCUGAGGAAGACUGGCCCUGAGCUAACAUCCAUGCCCAUCUUCCUCUACUUUAUAUGUGGGACGCCUGCCACAGCAUGGCUUGCCAAGCGGUGCCAUAUUCGCACCCAGGAUCCAAACCAGCGAACCCCAGACCGCCUAAGCAGAAUGUGUGCACUUAACAGCUGCACCACCGGUCCGGUCCCUUAUCUGUUUUAGAAAUUGUUCAGAAUAAAAGAUAAUCAUUUUUUUAAAAAAGAAGAGGAAACAAGGAAGAGCACUGGGCCAGAGUUCCCGUUGGGAUUCCAGGUGCAGAUCUGCAGGCCCCCACUGUUGCCUUGGCUCUGGACAUGCUUACUGCUCCUACUAGAAAGCAAGCUUCUGAGGACCAGGCCUGUGUCUGGCUCACUGACCCGAUCCAGAGGGCUAACCUGAAGCCUAGCACACACCUCCAGCCCGCGGCGUCUGGCUGGGCCGUGUGCAGGGCGUCUGGCCCCAGGGAGAGGUGGGGUAAGCCGAAGUCUACACCUACACGGCUAUAAAUAGGGAGACUCUGAGGACUGCUCACUCAGCCUCCCGCCCCCAGCUGUGACAGCACCGGAGCCUCUCGGACGCCUGGACCAUGGACCCCAGGGAAUGCUCCUGCAUGUCUGAAGGAAUCUGCCUCUGUGGAGACAACUGCAAAUGUACAACUUGCAACUGUAAAACAUGUCGAAAAAGCUGCUGUCCCUGCUGCCCACCAGGCUGUGCCAAGUGUGCCCGGGGCUGCGUCUGCAAAGGGGGCUCGGACAAGUGCAGCUGCUGCCCCUGAAACGCAUCCAUCGUGCUGGGGGCGAGGCCUGGGAAGCAUCUGUACAGUGUAUUAGUCAAGAAGUCAGAAUGAUUGUACAAUAGGUUGUGCUUUUUAUAUAUUUGCUGUUUGGUGACAGUCAUGUAAAGUGCUUGGAGCAAUAAAGUUGUCACUCGUGGUUGUCUGGUGGCUCAGAGCACUGUUUUACCCUAACCCAGCAGGACUAAGAAGGGCUGACUCCAUUGCAGAUACAGUAGGGACCAGCCUGCAUCCCUUCUGCAGAUGGCUGCUAACCCCAUGAUCCCUCAGGCUUGCUCCUGCUGCGUGAACUUGCUGGACGCAUGCACAGGACAGGCUGGGAGUAUUGGGAGUCAACACCCUUGGGAACAGCCCUUAAUGGAUGACAAACAGGAGCUGGUGGAUAAAUACCCCCAGCAUCUUUAUUCUUACAGUGAGACAAAUCUGAGAUAUUCUACACCAUCCCCAGAAGUCCCCAGCAGCACUGAGCUCCAAUAGCCCACUGUGAAACCUGCUCAUUAACAUGCCCCAUAUUGGCUUCAUUCCUUCUCUGCCCCACUUCUGCAUUCUCCUACCAGUGCUUCCUGGGAUCCCCACCCAAAGAAGUACUUUUACAGGGUCUGCUCUGGGGGUGACCCAUCUAAGCCAGGCUCUCCUGACAUGCUGUUGACCAAGAAUGCCUCACUGUGCUAAUGGUGCUGUUUAAGGGGCGUUAGCACUGAAUCAGCCACAAACGGGGUGUCUGUGCAGAUCUAAGGAAAAGCCCCAAGGCCAAGACAAUGAGGGCAUUAGCUGCCCAGGUUUGGAUAUUGGGCCAGCCUUCAGGAUGGGGCGACUGCGCAGACAGGGCCCAGGGGCAGCUGAUGCUGUUCAUUGCAGUUCUUGCAUUUCACAGAAGUCAAUGCAAAGAGAAACCGAAAUCUUCCAUUAUUUCACUCAGAUUGCUGACGUGAAUCAGAGCUUUCGCUACACCAGCACAAUUCCGAUGAAGUUUGAUGAUGAUAAUAGUUGCCAUUAUGCAGCACUCAUGAUGCACCAGCCAUUGUUCUGAGCACUUUACACACGUGCUCUCAUUUAAUCCCUACAAUAGCCCUGCAGAGGGGUGGGUCGUGUGGAGGCAUCCUUGAUUUUUAAAAAAUGAAUUAUUUUUAAACAGGUCUACACACACAAUGUACAAAACACAAAGAUACAAAAGGUAUAAGUCUUCUCCCCAUAUUCAUGCCCCAGUCUCCCCUCCCCAAGAUAACUACAGUAACCCCUUUCUUGCGUAACCUUCCAGGGUAUUCCAUGCCUGUACAAGGAUGUAUGACACACAGCAUCACACACACACACACUGCAGAGUACUACAUACCCUGGGAAACUUGGGAAAUGUUUUCCCUUGUAUAGUAAACUCUCCAUCAGGUCCUUUUUUCCACUUAAGAGAGAAGAAUAAGUAUAAGGAAAAAUAAGAAGAUUAAACAACCACGAAAUAAGGUGACAAGACAAGAAAACGAUGGAAAGGCCUGGCCCUUGGAGUCUGACGCUCCACCUUCCCCCACUGCGUGACCUUGACCAAGUCACUUACCUCUGAGUCUCAGUUUCCGCUUCGUGAAACAUACCGCCCUCCCAGGGAGAGACCAUAGCAAAAGGUCUAUGCACAUAGUAGGUGCUUCAUAAACAGGGAUUUUAGUAGGGCUGCAGCCUUUCUUAGGCUUCGGUUUAUUAAUCUCUGAGAAGGUCCCCACCAAGUCACUCUCUGAUUGCAGAGCUCUCAGGCCCCUUGGGAAGGAGGUGAUGUUGGCAAUGACACUGUCCAGGGGACAGAGCAGUCCCUUGUGUCUCCAACAGGCACGCAGGCCACUCUCCCUGCCACCUCAGCCUCAGCACCCACAGGGAUGCCAUCUCAGCUCAUCUAAAUGCUUUACCCGAACAGUCUCCUUUAUUCCUAUCACAACCUGGAAGCGACAAUCAGCCCCCAGAGUCUAAUUUUAAUAAUAAUACCAAUCACCAAUAUUUAUUGAGCACUUCAUAUGUGCCAAGCACUGGAGUAAGCAUUUUGUAAACAUUAUCCCAUGGGCCCUGCACAAUCCGGGCUGCGCUAGAGCUGGGCAAUCUGGGCUCUGCUAUGGACCCCCUGCCUUACAGAGUCUGUCUCUGACCCUC